GGCUCUUCUAAUGCAGGGUGUCUGAUGCACUUCCAGUUAGUACCUGGAGCUGGAAUAGCAGGAGGCUGGAAUACUAGCGACUGGCCAAGCACCUCUCUCUGCUUGUAGUUUCAGGGCCUCUCCAUGUAGGUUGGAUUGGGCUUCCUCACAGCAUGUCAGCCUCAGGGUGAUGCUCAUGGACUACCAGAGCUUGUGUGUUCCAACAAAUCAGCAGGCAAGCUGCACUGCCUGUUAUGCCCAAACCUUGGAAGUCACAUGGCAUUACUUUUGUCAUAUUAUCCAGUCACCUCUUGAUCUGAAGGAUGUCAGAGACUUUACUGACAUUUUACAACUGUCACAUUCACCUUAAGAAGCCCAUUUGGUAUGGAAGGCAAGACCAGUCCAGAUGGCACCACCAGAAUAACACCAAAAGACUUAACUACAGUACGAGUGUUGGUGGACUUUCCUUCUUGGCAAUGGCAAGACUACCCCCUCCAGAGUGUGGUAUUAACAGGAGUUUAUGUCAAUUUCCAACUUGAAAAUAAUAUCAGGUGGUACAUAUGAAUCAAACUCUCGGUUGAAGAGCUAAACUCACUAUAACUGGGAAGGCUAACAGUAAGUUAUGCUCACAUGAACCAAGAGACUUGCACCCUUUAUUUCAAGCAUUUUUCGAAAACCUGCGAACACAUUUCACACUAAAAGAGAUAGUAGCAGCUGAGAACCUAUCCUGGCUUUGGAAAUGGGUUUGACUCAAUCUUGGAAGACAAGCUGUGCCAGAAGCACCACGG